UGCCCAAUGCUCAAAAGGACAAAAGUGAUGGUUUUAAUUAAAUUCCAGAUAGGCAACAAGACAAAAAAACACAUUGGUACCAAUUGAUGGAUCUCCUUUGAUCAUACAUAAGUGAGAAUUAAGUUCACAACUAAGACUCUAGCGAUACAAGAGAUGGCAUUUGUCGCCGCAAACUCAGCCACCACCAUCUUACUCUGCCUCAGCUUCACCACUCUUCUUAUUGCCCUUCCUUGAGUAACACAAGUUCCUCGGGUCCAUCUAAGAGCACACAAAACAUAUCAUUAAUAGAAAUACAAAUGGCCACGAUAAAACCUGUCAAAUAGGCACACAAUCGGCUCACCAAGUUCAGGAGGAGUCAGGAGAAAAAAAUGCUCACCUUAGACUUCAA
rnacentral:lncRNA from 1 species